CAUUUUAGAUGUUAUCCCCAAGCCUCUCAAGGUCGUUAGGGCUCCUGAGAUCAUUUCCUGCACUUGCUAGCUGUCUCCGGUCCUGUUCAGGCCUCCAGUGCCUGCUUUAAUUAUCGAGUUUCAUCUUCGAUCCAAAAAGUGAUCAGAUUGAUGGAGUGCUGGCGGUCAAUCCUUGUGUAGCCUAAGGGCAUUCUGGAGGAAUAUUUUCCCACCAUGAAUUUCUUCUGGUGGACUAUGUGGAGGGAAGGGUCGUCAGAGCUGAGAAAAUGAGCUCUCUCAAGUUCCAGCUGGUAAGGAAAUCAGAAUAGUAAUUGUCCACAUUUAAUAGGUUAGACCACAUUCACUUUUCUAAUGAUGUCUUGUUUUCCUUUUCAGCUGACUGGGAACUAGAACUAUAACUAUAAUUAAAAUUAUAAUUAGGGGGCCGGUUUGUCCGGCAACUCAAAUUUUACCACAAGCGUCGAAUGGUGCGAUAGCUUGUUUCCGGGGUCGAGCCUAUUCCAGGUGAAGAAGAUGCUCUCAACUUGCUGAUGCGUCGGUUGCGGUGGUGCUUCAUUGUGGCACAGCGCCUGGGGCGACCAGCUUCAGUUUGCAGAAGGAGGGCUUACACAUUGUAUUAGCGGUAACUUCUGGCUUGAAGGUUGGUGUCAUUUUCUUUCUUCCUGGAAGGCAAGAUUACUUAGUUUAGUUAAGAAGAAUUCCUAUUAUCUAUGUUGGCACUGAUAACUAGGGACUAACAGAACUUAGGAACGCUUGUAAAUCAUUUAGAAUUUGAACUAUUGCACGGCCCAGCUCUACCGUCUGGCAAUACAUAUUAAGGUGCUAGCUUAAGCUUAGAAUAAUGAUUUACUAGCUAUAACUUGCUUUGUGUCCAUUAGACAAUAAAACUGUGUGUCACAA
rnacentral:lncRNA from 1 species